UAUUAGGUUGGUGCAAAAGUAACUGCGGCUUUUGCCAUUGAAAGUAAUGGUAAAAGCUGCAAUUACUUUUGUACCAACCUAACA
rfam:Gorilla gorilla gorilla genomic chromosome, chr7, whole genome shotgun sequence